CUUAAUGCUCUAACAGCAGUUACCCAACUGCCCUCACUUGAUGGAAGAAGACCAAGACAAACUCGAUUAGCAACUCCUCUAGGGGCUAUCAUCCGAUUAUCUCCUUCAAGUACAACACUUCGAUCUGACACAGAAUUUGCUUCAAGAUUGCGUUUGAGCGCCUCAACAGCAUGGAGAUUCCAUUCACAAGCAUAAACCAGCUUUGCUCCAGCCCUAAUGAGGAAUGGCAACACAAAAUAUCCAAUUCCAGCAAAUAAAUCCACUAUAGCCUCAUCCUGACAGUCCAAAUGUGCCAUGCGAAGCUUCUCAGAAAGAUUACCCCAGGAAAACAUGCACUUGGUAGCAUCAAAAGAAUAGAGAAUUCCAUUCUCUUUGUGAUCAACCCAGCCGUUAUCUCCCACCAGAAUCUCC
rnacentral:misc_RNA from 1 species